rnacentral:misc_RNA from 1 species
GCCCUUUGACUUUAACUUGUCUUCCCAACUUGACUUCUCUUUACUUCUUGUACCAUUACCACUUCUUCCUCUUCAGCUUGCCCUUGUCAUUUCGUAAAUCCAUCUCUGAUUUCUUUUUUACUUGAAAACCCUAAAAGCUCCUCCACUAAUUCUGGACUAUUAUGCAAUUCUUGGAUUUUCUCCCCAAAUCCUUUUAUCAAUGCUUGCUUCUCUUCUUUGCGAUCACAUUCUUCAAUUGAUGUCACUAUAAAAGUGAAUUCGUUGUCUUUGUCCAUUACUAGGCUUAAAGCUACCUCAUUAAUGCUCGAACUUAGAUUUGACUGAUGAAUUCUUCCUUUAUUAAAGUCAAUUUCUUCUUCUAAUGGAACUUCUUCAAAGAAGAGUUUAAUGUGGUCAAGUCCCAUUCUUUUUCACUAGCGCAUGGUUCAACUAACUUGGUUGUAGCAAAGGACGCUUAUAUAUAGGUUCCAUUCUUCCUUACUGUCAUACUGCACCUAACAGCUUAUUGAAGUGACAACAUUUCCUUGAAUUGACUUCUGUCAUGACCCAACCUAUGGGCAGGACCGG